rnacentral:rRNA from 1 species
GACGUAGGGCGCGAGCGUUGUCCGGAUUUAUUGGGCGUAAAGAGCUCGUAGGCGGCUUGUCGCGUCGUCCGUGAAAACUCGCGAGCUCAACUGCAGGGCUUGCGGUCGAUACGGGCAGGCUAGAGUUCGGUAGGGGAGACUGGAAUUCCUGGUGUAGCGGUGAAAUGCGCAGAUAUCAGGAGGAACACCGGUGGCGGAAGGCGGGUCUCUGGGCCGAUACUGACGCUGAGGAGCGAAAGCGUGGGGAGCGAACAGGAUUAGAAACCGACG